rnacentral:rRNA from 1 species
GACGAACGCUGGCGGCGUGCCUAAUACAUGCAAGUUGAGCGCUGAAGGUUGGUACUUGUACCAACUGGAUGAGCAGCGAACGGGUGAGUACCGCGUGGGGAAUCUGCCUUUGAGCGGGGGACAACAUUUGGAAACGAAUGCUAAUACCGCAUAAAAACUUUAAACACAAGUUUUAAGUUUGAAAGAUGCAAUUGCAUCACUCAAAGAUGAUCCCGCGUUGUAUUAGCUAGUUGGUGAGGUAAAGGCUCACCAAGGCGAUGAUACAUAGCCGACCUGAGAGGGUGAUCGGCCACAUUGGGACUGAGACACGGCCCAAACUCCUACGGGAGGCAGCAGUAGGGAAUCUUCGGCAAUGGACGAAAGUCUGACCGAGCAACGCCGCGUGAGUGAAGAAGGUUUUCGGAUCGUAAAACUCUGUUGGUAGAGAAGAACGUUGGUGAGAGUGGAAAGCUCGUCAAGUGACGGUAACUACCCAGAAAGGGACGGCUAACUACGUG